rnacentral:siRNA from 1 species
AUUGAGUUUCAAUGCAUUGCUGGU